UUUCAGGAAAGACACAUUGCUUUUGAGUUAUUGUUUGGAGCUUUGAGCACCUCAAGACGAGUGCCAUCUAGUUCCAUUAUAUCAGAGAGAAGGCAGACAUCUCUAUGGCCAAUAUCUCCAACUCACACCAAAACAA